GAUAGAUUGAAGUGAAGUCCUUAAGAGUAUUUACAGAUUGGCUUUUCUAUUCAUAUUCUUCAGGAGUUAGCAGGAUGCACAGCACACAUGCCUGUGCCAAAGGGGCCAUCCACUAUCCUGUGAAUAUGGCAACCUAAAUCACAGAAAGGAUCAGCAGCAAACAAUAUUUUCUUAAACUCCAAACGUACAUGAACCUCUGGUAUAGGGAAACAAAUGUCUCUUCCUCUCUUAGUGCCAUGGGAAAACAUGUGACAAUGUAAACUCACAGUUGAAACAAGCUCAGUGGGAGUUGUAAAGGAAAAGGGCAGGCCAGAUUUAUCAGAAGAAUAUGCAACAUAUAUUGAACGUUAGUCUUUCCAAGUUGUUAACAGUGUUUAGUACAAAUGUUUCUCUUUAAAGAAUCAGAUGUUCCUCCUUUUUAUUUUUCAAUGCCUCCAGGAUGGUAAAGCUGGUGCCAUAAAGUCAUUGCAAGGGACAGCAAACAACUUUGUUAUUGUAACGGGCUUUCUUUAAACAAUAGGUGUAGCAGGUGGCAUGUGGCUACAACUGGGUCUAUCACCAUCUCCAGGGUGCCAAGAUGUCCCUCAAAGUUUCUGUGGGAGGAAUUUGUUGGUGGGAUUUGGAUUGUAAAGGCACGCGAGCAUCUGCUGCCUACCCGGUCUCAUUACCAUUCACACAAUUAACUCCUGCCGCUCUCAGCCCAGCAGCCAGGACCACGGACUCGGUUUUACUGCUUCUUCCACAAUACUCAUUAUCAUUCAUCUGGACUUCGAGUUCUUCUUCUUUCAACUCUGGGGAAAGUUUGCUUGGAAAAUUGAUCACAUGCAGAAAGAGGCUUGUCAUGGAGAGAGAAGAAAGAGAAAAAAUGCUUCUAAGAACCUGAAUGGCUGCCGUCUGGCCCGUGCCUUGGGUAAAGGUGGAAGCUCUGAGAUUUUGAUUUUUACUACUUUCUGAAAAAAAUCAUGCUUCUUUGCAUUAAGACUGACCAUCUUCAGUGAAGGCUCCUAAUAUAUUUGUUUCAAUAAAACUAGUUUAUUUAUUCUAACUUUCAAUUCUACUUUUUUGGUCAUCCCAAAGCACUUUGGCCAAGAAGCCAAACUCUCUGAUAAACUC